CACACACACACACACAGGUCGCUGGGCCGAGUCCAGAACAAACACGAUGGGAUGUUGGUGUUUACACACCACGCGGAUAUAUGAUUGACAUUUGGCAUGCGGCUAAAAGGAUUACACACACACGUAUGUGCGCAGAGACCUAACGUGACGGACAAAGAGGACAUUUACACAUAAUCACCUAUUCUCUAUUCUCGGCUACUCGUAGCUCUCCAACUGGCCACGCAAGCUUCCCACAUUCCAACCUGCACCGCUGUCUUUUCAGCACUCUUACCUGAAUACUUCCACCACCGCUGGUCAUUAUUGAUCGCUGUGAUCGUUUGCUCUGGUCUGGAAGCUGAUCUGAGAUCUGUCAUCCUGUCACUGUCUCUCUUUGAUCUGCGGGACGAGCUCAGAGGAUGUUUAUUCCUCACCUAAAGUGUUGACAGGUGUCAAGGGGGGGCUGCCCAGGGGACAGAAGACAGCUCUCUGUGAGGACGUGUCUCUUCCUGCUGAGACACAUCGGCCAUCAUCGCCCCCGAGCCCCCCGCUGAGCCUCUGCUUCACAUGCAUAUGAGAGGUGCUACUCUAUGAUGGAGUCACAUCGCUGGUUUAACACGAGACUUCACAGCAGAAGGAGAACAACACGGACGUCCUCCAGCAGAUGUUUGAAGGAAAGAAGACGUCGCUUCUCCAAUUCUCAACGUUUGAAUGAUUUUAGGUUGUUUGAAAAGGAGACAGAAACAAAAAGAGAGAGUUAGAUACGGAAGGAAGGGAGCGGGGAACCAAGUUACCAAAUCACUGGAUAAAGUGGGGAUUUAAAAUCGAAAGAAGAAGAAAUUUAGCAACUAAAACCAAAAAUCAAAUGAGAUGUCUGUGAGGAAAAAGGGAAGAUGAUCAAUAAGAUGAAAAAAAAAGACUUUAUCCCGUCACUUGCGUCACAGAUUUCAAUCUAUCUGAUGACUAUCUUAUUAAAUAAUUGUUUUAAUGUUAAAACUAUGUGUGUAUAUGGAUCUAUAGAUACAAUGUGGACUCGUAGAAACCCCCCGGAGGACCCUGGGGAGCCCCCACGCCUCAGUUUGAGACCCCCCCCGUCACUCAGCGCUGAGCAGCUCUAAACGGUAAUUUAUGUGUUGUUGUUGAGGACAAAUUGCUGCAGGAG
ensembl:lncRNA